rfam:Oryza barthii chromosome 11, whole genome shotgun sequence.
UUUAAGUGCAACUAUAAGUUUCCGUGCCCAACUUUAAUCGCUCGUCUUAUUUAAUUUUUUUUAUAAUUAGUAUUUUUAUUGCUAUGAGAUGAUAAAACAUGAAUAAUACUUUAUAUGUGACUUAUGUUUUUAAAUUUUUUUAAAAAUUUUUUAAAUAAGACGGAUAGUCAAAAAGUCGUGCAUGGAAAAUCAUGUCUGCACUUAAA